GAUUAGAUACCCCACUAUGCCCAGCCGUAACACAACAAUCAAAUUACUAAUUGUUCGCCAAAUAACUACGAGUAAAAACUUAAAAUUUAAAAGACUUGACGGUACCUCACAACAACCUAGAGGAGCCUGUCCACUAACCGAUACUCCACGAUUAACCCAACCCAGACUAGCCAUACAGUCUAUAUACCGCCGUCGCCAGCUUACCUUAUGAAAGAAACAAAGUGAGCAAAACAGCCACACACUAACACGACAGGUCGAGGUGUAACUAAUGCCUGGGUCAAAGAUGGGCUACAUUUUCUAACAAAGAAAACACGAACAAAUUAUGAAACUAAAAACUGAAGGCGGAUUUAGCAGUAAGAUAGGGGUAAAAUACUUAACUGAAACUAAAGCAAUGAGGUGCGUACACACCGCCCGUCAUCCCUGUUAACCAACUCAUAACAAAAAUAUACCACUACAUAUCAAAGGUUUAAAGCAGGGCAAGUCGUAACAUGGUAAGCGUAC
rnacentral:rRNA from 1 species